ACACAGGUGCUGCAUGGCUGUCGUCAGCUCGUGUCGUGAGAUGUUGGUUAAGUCCCGUAACGAGCGCAACCCUUGUCCUUAGUUACCAGCACGUUAUGGUGGGCACUCUAAGGAGACUGCCGGUGACAAACCGGAGGAAGGUGGGAUGACGUCAAGUCAUCAUGGCCCUUACGGCCUGGGCUACACACGUGCUACAAUGGUCGGUACAAAGGGUUGCCAAGCCGCGAGGUGGAGCUAAUCCCAUAAAACCGAUCGUAGUCCGGAUCGCAGUCUGCAACUCGACUGCGUGAAGUCGGAAUCGCUAGUAAUCGUGAAUCAGAAUGUCACGGUGAAUACGUUCCCGGGCCUU
rnacentral:rRNA from 1 species